AUUUUGGGGGGUGUUUGCUCGAGCAUUGGAGCAGGAAAAUCAACAUUGUCAAUGUUUUGUGAUGGAAUGAUGAGAAACACUGAAGUCAGAUUUCCCAGACCUCCACUGAUGUCUCCAUUGAGGCCCCUCUCUAUGGGCACAAGUGGGCAAGAGCAGGGCAUUUUAGCCUCUAAUCCCAGCUGUGAUGUGGUCAGGAACUGCCAGCAGAAAUUGCCUCUUCAGUUUCAACAGUGCCUACACAGUGCAAGUGCUGAGAAGAUAUGGAGCAAGCUGGUGUCAGCAGAAAUCAGGCCAAGAGGCUGCAUUAAACAAUUGCUGCCUGGACUUUCCUUCAAGAUAUUUGCUGUGCCUGGAUUGAUUGCAUUGGGCAACUCUCACUAGAUGGUCCUUGGAAAUGUGAGCAGGAUAAGAAGGCACCCUGAGCUUCAUAGAAUCCAAUUGUGUAAUGCCUUAUCUAAGUUUUUGAUUAUGCAGAUUUACUUCAAAACUAAGUGCACUCAGAUAAUUUCUACGAGUGUUCAUGCAAAAAGGUCUGUUCUGUAAUACAUUGGUGCAAUCUGUUCAAAUUUCUGAGUCUUGUUCUCAGUCUGUAACAGGCGAUUUCCCCUAUAAGUCACUUUCAAUUUGCAACCGUGUCAACCAGAAACCAGG
rnacentral:lncRNA from 1 species